CCCGGGCCUUGUACAACACCGGCCCGUCACACCAUAGGGAGUUGGUUUUACCCGAAGGUAGUGCCGCUAAACCGGCGAAGGAGGCGACGACGUAACCACGGUAGGGUCAGCGACUGGGGUG
rnacentral:rRNA from 1 species